GUUCAGAAGCACCUACUCUCCCUGGGGCCAUUGGCUCAGGUCUCGGCACACAUAGCUUAUGUUUUUUUGACAUUCAUCUGACCUCCACGCUUUCUGAGAAUCUUAUAAUCGUCUGAGUUGGAAGGGACCUUUAAAAGCCACCUAAUCCUAUUCCCGAGCAAAGAACAGGGACACCUACAGCUGAGGGUGCACUCAAAGCCCCAUCCAGCCUGACCUUGACCAGCAAGAAGAGACCAGUAUUUACCCCAUAACCUGUCCUUCCCCAUAUAAUAAAAGGCAUCUCAUUCUCUAUGCCUUUUGUCUGUGGCAUACCCAUUCAUCCUCCAUGGCCAGCACAGAGACAUGGGGCUGCAAUCUCAACUUCUCCCAUCUCAGCUCUCCAGGGACUUGCUCCAGGGGGGUGAUAAGGGAGCGUGGGUACUUCCUGGGUGUGGGGAGAGUUGCUGGGUUUGGUCUUUUCAUGCAGGUGCUAGAAGGGAGAUUCUUGUCUUCUUUGGAGCAUAGUGUAGCUGCAGGCACAAUGCAACCACUAGUGUGGGGGAAUAGUGGGUGAUGAUCACACAGGCCCUUCACAUGGGAUGUCCUAUUGCAGAGCAAACAAGUUAGCAGUCAGUUGUGCGUAGGGGUUUUCCCUGUGCCCUAUCAGGAACCAUCCCCCCUCCCUCCCAGUUUUGCAUGCCUCCUGCUGCCUUUCAUCCUCCAGCCUCCAUGUAGCUAGAUUCCAGCGGUCUCGCCUCUGAUGCACUUGGAGAUGAGAGGCUCUGUGAGAUACAGAGACUGAUACUGGGAUUCACUGCUUCUAGGGAGUCAGUCCAGGUACAGGCUGCUGUGUGUGACAGCAGAAUUAGAUAAUGGUACUAAAAAGCUUGGGUAGAGAACAUCAAGUUCUUGCAGCCUCCUUGGGCAAAAACAUUUUGCAAAAGAAAAUCUUGCAGUUAUUAUCCUCUCUGACAUGCUCUUGUUUCCUUUUUUAUGUGGUACCUGUCAAAAAGUAUUUCUGAUGGGCUGCUAUAACAUGCCAAUUUUUUUCAUAUCUGAUGCCUUAAGUUUAACUCUAUUUAUCUUGUUUACGAAAGCUGACAAGUGAUACAGCCAUAAUAAUGCCAGCAGAAAUUGCACAGCAAUUUUACUCUGGUUCUUUUCAAGUCAGUGGAACUGUUAAAUGAGAUUAACGCAGUAGAAGGGUUUAUUGUGGCCAUGAGAAACCAGAUAGACGCAUAUCACAGAGAAGCAGUGAUAGACUAAGAGGAUCACAUACAGAGACAUUGUGCCAAAGGGGGAUUGGCAGGAUAACAUGAGUGCAUCUUUUAGCUCUUUGGAGCUGUGUCUUACUGUAUUUCUGAUAUGGUCCCCACUCAUCCUAACAGCUGUCUUUUCCUUCUCCAACACUUUGUGUAUCUUUCUGUACCUUAUUCCAACACUAGUCCUCCUUGUAGUUUGGUGAGGUUUGUUAGGAGUUCUGAGGACCUGGGAAGAAUGGCCCCUAUAUUCUCCUUAGGGUAGCCCUGGAAAACCUGUGUUGGUGGCUAUUGUUUUCAUUUGUAACUUUCCCUUGUAAAUUGCUGUUACAUAUGUUAUGACAUACAUUUCUUAUAUAUGUGUUGUUAUAUAUACAAGUCCAUGUGGCUGCCAUCAGGGACUGAACCAGAGACCUCUGGAGCAAAGAGCAUUUUGUUCAUACUUGCAAUCUUAGCAGCAGAUGGAAGCAUAAGCUCCCAUUCUCUCUGGAGCGGACAUAACUAACAGAAGAUCACAUAAGGAAUCACUGAGAUGUUGCUGUGUGGUUCCAGCUGGGAUGCAGUGCUUUUGUCCCAAACUGGGUAGGAGCCCACCUCCUGCUUAGCGUAUUUCCUAAAAGCCACUUCCUAUGUGUCUUGAAAGGCUAUUCACAUUUCGGCCCUGGCAAGAGGCAAAGAGCAAAUCUAGAAGCGUGUCCAGCUACCAGGUGGAGCAUUCAGCUAUUCAGCAGCAGUGUACAGACCAAUAGAUCCCACAAUGAAGAUGUAAGGAAGGGAGGAGCAGCUGGGCAGUGGACAAGGCUGUGAGCUUUCCAGCUCUCUGGAACAUGGCUUGAAUUUGUUCCAGCCAUUCAAGAUGAUCUUUCACUUCUUGGCAGAAGCUCACAAAGUUUCUUAGCUAAGCAAAGAGAGCACAAGACUUCAUUGUGCAUUGAUAUGGACAGACACUGGUCAUUUGAUUAUUGUUGUUGAGAAUAUAAAUGAGUGUAAUGUUGCAAAUGCCACUGGAGGAAGUGAGAGACUCCCUCAUGAGGAGGCCUUGGAUACUAUUUGUAUCCAGAAGCAUCCUGAGAUGAAAUCAUAGUUCUUUGGCUGAGUGACCAUCCUCACACUUUUUUGUUUUGUCUUUUAAUUGCACUCUGGAGGCUACUGAUGAAAGCUAAGCAUUUCCUCGCCUCCCUACCAAUAUGCUUUCCUCUCUAUCUUCAAGGUUUCCUUAUGGAUAUAUGUGCUUUGCAAUGAUCUUACAAACUUUUCUUUACAGAACUUAGGCAAGGUCUGCACCCGCACCGAUGACCCAGAGGCCACCAGUCUGUGGACUAAUAGACCACUGAUGCAUACAAGGUGUGAACACAGAGCACAAUGGUGAGAGAUAUCAGUUGGAAAGUACAGUAGGUGCUGCUGUCCUACAUAAAAAAAACAGAACUGGAACUAAGGAGGCAUUUCCAGUGUGCAAGAGGAGGCAAAGGCAAUGGGGACUUUCGGCUUAGAUUCAGCAAGAUGCGUCUUAUACUUCACGUAGAACUUUGACUUCAGUAAGACAACCUCCGUGCUUCACACUGGACAUAUAAGGACCUCUCUGCAGGCACUGGAGCUACAGUUGUACAAACUCAGAAUUUCAGUAUGAAGGCCAGAGGUAAAAAUUUAGGAUUAAGAGAAGGUAGCUAUGUGCUCUGUUGCAGAAGAAGUAGGCAUUACUGUAGACAAUAAUCCAAUAGCCCACAUUUCUGCAACAAACUCUGAUCUCAUGUGCACUUCAGAGCAUCUUUCAAGAGUGCAAACAGUUUUUGAAACUAGAUUUCACUGCUCCCUGUGAGGAGGAAAGCUUAUGGCCAUGACCUCACAAAUUAUAAAUAGAUUUCAAUGGAAGCAGAGGGCUAAGCAUAGAGUUGCCAUCCAAGGUGUAAUUUAAACUUUUGCUCAUGCUGACAGAGGCUGCUUCCAUUGGGACUUCUUCGGGUGGCACCAAUUUGUUCAUCCAUAUGGGAACAGCAGGGAAGGAGAGGAAUGCUUCACUGUAACUUAUAGAAGGCAAAAUGGAAAGAUGUUUGAGUGCCAUCAUGGGGGUGAAUUUAUUAUAUAUAUAUACACUUAAAAUUUACCUCUUUGUGAAACUGAUGUCAGUGUCAGCUCUUUCAGAUAUGGAGGAAAUUUACACAAAGAAGAUGCUUCCUUCUAUCAAAAGUUCACUCUCCGUUCUGGCAACACUGCUUUCACUUGGUGAAAGUAGAUCAGAAUUCACCAUGUUAAUAAAAAAUAUAUUAGAAUCUGAUCCACUAUCUGCACCGAAGAAGCCAACAGGAAUAGCUUGUGUGACAGCAGAUUCUUAAUUAGGCCUCUCAUUAAUUGCUGUAGUUUUGCUGGGGAGCACAAAAUCACAUCACAAAGUCCUCUAGAUAACAAAGCCUUGCAACUCUGUCUGAAGUAGGAAAGGUGAGGUUACAGGAGGACAUGAAGCCAAAGGAGGUCGUGGAAUGAGUCAUUCUCCGUCUCAGAUCUGUGAUAGCGGGGAGAACAGAAAACGUGUGUGAUAUCCGCCAGCUGGAUUCCAUCUGUCUUUUCUCUGCGGAGAUGGAGUUUCAAAGGCUACAUCCUAUCUGCUGUCACACCCUCUCCCGACAUGAGAAGCUAAGUGUAAAGUUUGGCCAAAGUGAUGGAAAAAACAAUAUCUCUUUUGUACAUCACAACUAUUUCCCUACCUACACAAAAGUGGCAUUCUUCUUGUUCUGGCAUGCAUGAUGUACUGUUGCACUGUAUCACAACUUUCCUAUUAAAUAAAAGGAGCC
ensembl:lncRNA